rnacentral:rRNA from 1 species
UACGAAGGGUGCAAACGUUGCUCGGAAUUAUUGGGCGUAAAGAGCGUGUAGGCGGCCAUGUAGGUCCGGUGUGAAAACUCGAGGCUUAACCUCGAGAUGUCAUCGGAAACCAUUUGGCUAGAGUCCGGAAGAGGAGAGUGGAAUUCCUGGUGUAGCGGUGAAAUGCGCAGAUAUCAGGAAGAACACCAAUGGCGAAAGCAGCUCUCUGGGACGGUACUGACGCUGAGACGCGAAAGCGUGGGGAGCGAACAGG